rnacentral:rRNA from 1 species
GUUUGAUCCUGGCUCAGAGCGAACGUUAGCGGCAGGCUUAACACAUGCAAGUCGAGCGAGAAAGGGGCUUCGGCUCCGAGUAAAGCGGCGGACGGGUGCGUAACACGUGGAUAAUCUGCCUCGUGGCGGGGGACAACAGUCCGAAAGGACUGCUAAUACCGCAUGUCAGGUCGGAAACUCCGGUUUCUGACGAAAAAGAGGGCACCCGCAAGGGGCUCUCACCACGAGAUGAGUCCGCGUCCCAUCAGCUAGUUGGCGGUGUAAUAGACCACCAAGGCUUAGACGGGUAGCUGGUCUGAGAGGAUGACCAGCCACACUGGGACUGAGACACGGCCCAGACUCCUACGGGAGGCAGCAGUGGGGAAUAUUGGACAAUGGGCGAAAGCCUGAUCCAGCCAUGCCGCGUGAGUGAUGAAGG